UCUCUCGUUCAAUUCCCAUCCCGGAUCUCGCAUCUCUCUCUCCCACGACACAGGUUGCGCCGCCACCGUAGUUUCGUUCGGAUUCCACCUCCUCGUGGCGUAGUCCAUGCCCGCCCCAUCGGAACAUCGCCUCCGUCUCCGUUUAGCCGUUGAUGUCCUACUUAUCUUUUCUUUCGUCGGAAAGGCCAUAAGGGAGCAUCUGUUUUUCUGGGCGGCCUUGAGCUCCAUCCCCAGAUCGGUGGCGCACAACACCCCUGAAGCACGGGUAUGUAUCCGAUCUUUAUCUGGAGUUAUUGGGCUCGCUGCUGCCAGCUCUUCCACGCUCCGGGCACAUAGCCAUGCGGUGGUGAGCGACAGUAGCAACGUUGAGUUUUGGGGGCCGUCGGCGUCGUGGAACUCGGUGUGGCUGAAGGUACUCCAUCAGGUAAUCGGGUGGAUCGCCUUCUUUUCUGGACCUUCAUCUUCUACCUGCAGGUUGUCCUCUACUACAAGCGCGAGAGGUGCUCCUUCUAUCCCUUUACUUUGUCCUUGGCUAUAGUCUUUUUGGGCUAGAUUUGUUUGACCAGCUGUUCGUCUGUUCCUCAGCCUGCGGUUCUGAGGAUUCACUUAAUCUGCGCACAAAACAGACUUUGCCUCCUUUGUCAUAUAUGUGUCUUGAUUUUGGAAGAAAAAAAACAACCUUGAGAAAUUCGUCUGGUACCGUCUCAAAUGUCUAGAAAAUGCAGCUUUCUUUGAGCUUACGAUGAACCGUGUCUUCAGGCAGAUGCAAAUUCUAGGAAUUACCUCGAUUGCUUUGCUCCUAUGGCAAGAUAGUGGCCCUGUUUAUAGGAGGGUGUCAUGUAUGCAAAGUACAGGCAAAGAAACAAAACAAAAAGCAGUUAGCAGUUAGCACCGAGUAGAAUGAACCUUUUUCUUGUGGUGCUUAUAAACUACUCCCUCCGAUCCAAACAGAAGUGUUGUGGUUUUUUGGGUUGGAGGGAGUAUUUAAUGUACACUUUGUUGUCCAUCUAUUAUUAUUGUUGUAUAACGAUUCUUGCAGGUAUGGCUAAAUAAAAAUCACGACCGAGAAGAAGAGACAAGGUAUAAGAGUAGGCCAUUACGAUAUCCGGAUCAGAACGAAAUCAGGGAAAUCGUCAUGAAACCAGAGAUACAGUAAAAAAAGGUUUUUAAGUAGUAAAUUAAGGGUUUUGGUGCUUUGCACAACUGCAUGAGAGUAUAAAUUUUGGACCUGUCGAGAUUUGUAAUUGUGGCAGUAUGGCCUGAUUGUGUUUAUUUUAGUAACCAGCCCAUCCUCCAUGACACUGCUCUUCAUAGGUACUGCUUUUCCUUGCCCAUUCCUAUAAGGCUAUAACUAAUUAAGCUUCAUCUUAAAAAAUAGGUUUAUCAUUCCACCCUUAAGAAAGAGGUUAUGCACAGAGAAGUGACCUACAAGUGUGAAGCCAGAUGCAAAAACAACACAUGUUCAUGCAGUUGUUCCCACACCCUCUUAAUUCUUUUCCUAUCUGACCAAAUGGUAUCUACUCUUUGUCCAGAUGUUGCAAAAAGGAAUGGAUUAUUGAAUGUUUGCUGCUCUAGAGUAUGCUAGAUUGUGUUUUUUUUAGCAAAACUGAUCAUUUGUGUAAAUUUGGAAUUUUAUAUGAGAACUUUCUUUGUGCAUGAUUGUUGAUAAAUUAUUUUAUUUGAGAUUUGAUAAGCUGGAUUUAGGUAGCGCUUGCAGGCUAGCAUACCAUUCCAUCGCAUCAAGAUAAUUUAUAUAUUGUGGAUAAUGUUCAAUAUUAGUGCAACAUGCAAGCACAUUUUCCAAUUGUUGAUAAUUAGCUUCAGCCUUUGCGCCAUCUAUAGUAUUUCUGCUUCAAAGGAUUGAUCUGAGAGGUCAUAAGAGUAGUGUUGGUAAGGGCAUUUAAUUAGUUCCAACUAUAUCUGUCUUUCUGUUCUUAUACUUUUCGCAUGUUUUUGUACCGGUAUUACAAAGCAUUCAUCCAGGUCGAGGCAAGUGGAGAUGAUGCUGGAGCUGUCUUGCUCCAUUGCGCGCCGAUGAACAUCAAUCCACGCAAAGUCAGUGCAAAAGCAAUAAAAUUAAUAAGUUAAUCACACUGAAUUUGUUAGGAUAUUAUAAGAAUACAGUUGAAAAAGGAUUAUGUGUUGUCUAUAAUUUAUGACCAAUAUGAGCCCCCCUUUGGUUAAAGAUAACUUUAUAUAAUAACAUUGCUUGAUAAUGUGAGAUUUAAUCCUAAGAUAACCAGUUAAUUCGAUUUAGGUGAUGAUGUGUUUCAUCGUCCCUUUAGCCUAAUAAGUAAUAACACAUUAUCUCACUGAAGGUUUCUUCUAUGCUUUCAAUAGAGUAACUGUCUAGAUUUUAGUAAUGAAUGUUUUCAAUGUUAAAAUGUCAAUCUUCGGGGAAGGCAUACAAAUAGACCAAUGUUUGUUUUCUGUGAACUGAAUCAUGUCAAAGAUUAUGUAGUUACUUUGAUGAAAAUAAAACCAUUGUAUGCACUCAUUACUCGGCAUAACAGAAAUUAUGUUUAACUUCAUAUCCUUAAAACACGAGACUUUCCAUUUAAAGUUUAUUUAUGUGCCCUACAACAGCUUUCAUUAGCAUAUGAUCCUUCAUCCUAUCUUUUUGUCCUCCUGUUUUGCAGAGUUCUGUGGGUGACGUUUGUCUAUUGGAGAAUGUGGGAGAAAGAGAGCAAGACUGUUCUUCUUAAGUUGCUUACACAUUUGUAGGAACCUUCAUGGUACGAGACGGACAACUUCACUGUACCCUUUAUUCCAAGUUAUCUUGCCGAUUGAUGCUAAGCAACUAUGAAAAACUUGUGGAUGACCUAAUUUUUUAUUUCUUAUUGUGUUUGAUGUAUCCACAUUUCAGAAUCCUACAUCAUGCAUAUAGAUGGAUACAAAUCAUUUAAAUUGCAGAAUUGAAAAUGUAUUAUACAAA